AAACCGCCUAGAGGUAAACGGGUGGAUCCGCAAAGUCGGCCCGCGGAAUUCAGCUCGGCAGGUCGCGCGCCCGCGGGUGGGUCGGGGAUCUUUAUCGACCCUCCCACCUCGGGACCGCGCGCCGACCGUGUGCACUUUCCGCGGGCAGAGCGCCACGACCGGUUCUCGGGCGGUCAGAAGGCGGCGGGGAUGGUAGGCGUGCGCUUCGGCGUGCGCUGGUAUAGCCCCGUCUGUCCCGAUCCGCUCGGGGACCGAGGAGCCGCCGCCGGCGUAGGCCGCCUUUCCCUCCAUGGAGGUUCGACUGGCAGAGACUGGGCAACCGUGUCUGCCGACCGCCUCCUAGGACGGACGGGGUGGGCCCGCCGGCACAGGGUCGGUGGCGAAUCGGUCGGCCCUCCACCCGACCCGUCUUGAA
rnacentral:rRNA from 1 species